GACAGAGGCCUCAAGCGUUAGGCGGAAUCACUGGGCUUAAAGCGUGCGCAGGCGGUUUGCUAAGACAGGUGUGAAAUCCCCGGGCUUAACCUGGGAACUGCGCUUGUUACUGGCAGGCUUGAGUGUGGCAGAGGGGGGUGGAAUUCCACGUGUAGCAGUGAAAUGCGUAGAGAUGUGGAGGAACACCGAUGGCGAAGGCAGCCCCCUGGGCUAACACUGACGCUCAUGCACGAAAGCGUGGGGAGCAAACAGG
rnacentral:rRNA from 1 species